rnacentral:rRNA from 1 species
UAGAGUUUGAUCCUGGCUCAGGAUGAACGCUAGCGACAGGCCUAACACAUGCAAGUCGAGGGGCAGCGGGGAGUGGCAACACUCCGCCGGCGACCGGCGCACGGGUGAGUAACGCGUAUGCAACCUGCCCGCACCAGGGGGAUAACCGGGAGAAAUCCCGUCUAAUACCGCGUAACGCCUCAUGGGGGCAUCUCCAAGAGGCCAAAGGGUUUCCGGGAGCGGAUGGGCAUGCGUGACAUUAGCUAGUUGGCGGGGUAACGGCCCACCAAGGCGACGAUGUCUAGGGGUUCUGAGAGGAAGGUCCCCCACAUUGGUACUGAGACACGGACCAAACUCCUACGGGAGGCAGCAGUGAGGAAUAUUGGUCAAUGGACGGAAGUCUGAACCAGCCAAGUAGCGUGCAGGACGACGGCCCUACGGGUUGUAAACUGCUUUUGCGGGAGGAUAAAGUGCGCCACGCGUGGCGCUUUGCAGGUAUCCCGUGAAUAAGCAUCGGCUAAUUCCGUGCCAGCAGCCGCGGUAAUACGGAAGAUGCGAGCGUUAUCCGGAUUUAUUGGGUUUAAAGGGAGCGUAGGCGGGCUGUUAAGUCAGCGGUCAAAUGUCAGGGCCCAACCUUGGCAUGCCGUUGAUACUGGCGGCCUUGAGUUCACACAAGGAAGGUGGAAUUCGUCGUGUAGCGGUGAAAUGCUUAGAUAUGACGAAGAACUCCGAUUGCGAAGGCAGCCUUCUGGGGUGUUACUGACGCUGAGGCUCGAAAGUGCGGGAAUCAAACAGGAUUAGAUACCCUGGUAGUCCGCACCGUAAACGAUGAGCGCCCGUCAUUGGCGACAGACAGUCAGUGACCAAGGGAAACCGUUAAGCGCUCCACCUGGGGAGUACGCCGGCAACGGUGAAACUCAAAGGAAUUGACGGGGGCCCGCACAAGCGGAGGAACAUGUGGUUUAAUUCGAUGAUACGCGAGGAACCUUACCCGGGCUUGAACUGCACAGGACGAUACCAGAUAUGGUAUUUCCCUUCGGGGUCUGUGUGGAGGUGCUGCAUGGUUGUCGUCAGCUCGUGCCGUGAGGUGUCGGCUUAAGUGCCAUAACGAGCGCAACCCUCGCCGCCAGUUGCCAUCAGGUAAUGCUGGGCACUCUGGCGGGACUGCCAUCGCAAGAUGUGAGGAAGGUGGGGAUGACGUCAAAUCAGCACGGCCCUUACGUCCGGGGCUACACACGUGUUACAAUGGGGGGUACAGAGCGUUGCUUUCGCGCGAGCGUUUGCGGACCGCAAAAACCCUUCUCAGUUCGGACUGGAGUCUGCAACCCGACUCCACGAAGCUGGAUUCGCUAGUAAUCGCGCAUCAGCCAUGGCGCGGUGAAUACGUUCCCGGGCCUUGCACACACCGCCCGUCAAG